rnacentral:sRNA from 1 species
UUCCUCUAUAGGUGGUGGACGUAACAAA